rnacentral:lncRNA from 1 species
GCAAUUCUACUUCUGGGUAUAUAACCAAAGGAACUGAAAGGAGGGUCUUGAAGAGAUAUUUAUACAUCCAUGUUCACAGCACUGUUAUUCACAAUAGCUAAAAUGUGGAACCAACCCAAGUGUGUAUUGGCAGAUGAAUGAAUAGGCAAAAUGUGGAAUAUACAUAUAAUGGAAUAUUAUUCAGCCUUUCUAAGGAAGGAAAUUCCGACUACAUGCUACAACAUGGAUGAAACUUAAGGGCAUUUGUGCUAAGUGAAGU